rnacentral:misc_RNA from 1 species
GAUGAAUUCAAAGUUCCUUGUUUAUGUAAAGCUCCAAAUUGCCGGAAAUUCAUGAAUUAGGUUAUAUACAGAACAAUUAUUGUUUCUCCGCAAGGAGCACUAACCCAAUCCCAAGCCUACGGGAUCUGAGUCAUACAAGAUUUGUCCUUUUUGCCAAAAGGAAAAUGUAAUUUUUUGUUUCUUUUUUUUACUCCCUUAGACAAUCUUUGAGCUUAAUAAAUGUUAUAGGUUUGCCUGCUGUUUUAAUUCAGGCAUUUGUGUAAAUUUGUUGACUCACCCUCAUUCUCUUAUAAUUAAAAGCUAACCCAUUUU